CCAGAAGUAGCUGCCUGACCCCAAUGGCUCAUGUGAGCGUGUUUAACUCACUCUUGAGAUUAUAAAUGAAGAAGCCCAGAAAUUGAAGUCAGGUAGUUGAGCCUUGGAUUUUUCAGAUCAUGUAGAGCCGAGGCCAGUGUCAGAACCCCAAUGAGCCAAAGUCACACGGGAACGGAAGCUAAGAGGGAGUUGGAACUCUGAGUGGACAUCAAGGGGGUCCAUAGAGCAGGUGUGCAGAGAGAAGCCUAGAGAGGCUGCCUGACUGCAGCCAGAGACUGGGAAUGGAGAGAGUGUCCCAACUCAAUUUCCUGCCUUUGGUUCUGAGAGAUUCCCUUGUGCCCCAUUUGCUCAAGCCUGUGUGCGUAGGAGUGGGUUGCUUCCUGCCAAGUCAUCCCUAAUGAAAUGUGAAAAUGCAAAUGCCAGACACAAAGUGGAUGUGCAGUUCUUCAAGGUUUGAUAACAUUAACCUGAUGCCUAGGGUCUCAGAAGAAACCAGUUUUGGGGGUCAGUGGGACUCAGAAACUAACCUCUUUCUAAACUUCACACACAAGCAAAAGGUGUUUUUCCCUUGGAGGCCAGAGCUCCGAGGAGUGGGGAUGGGAGUUGUGGCCGCCUCUGCCAUGAAUGUACCCCUGCACUGCCCACUGGUGUUGGGGAAAUCUAAGGUCCAUACAUAAGAAGCUUUGGUUCCUUGAUGUUUUCUGUGAAUGGAUUACCCAGAAUAGGAUUUUUCCAGAUUUGCAGGCUCAAAUGAGACGCCUUACAGGUUGGCUUCAGAGCAAGAGUUCUCUGGAAAAGAAGGAAUCAUAAUCCUUUGAUAAUAUUUUCCUAACAGCCACUAGAGGAAGUUUUCAGAGAGUAAUAAAUCGUGCGUUCUCAUUUAUAUAAAACCUUUUACUCCUAGCUUGGAACACUAUCUCAACUUUUUACUAACUAGCAAUUUUACUAACAAAUUGACUAAAUCAUUUAGCUUCUCAGCCUCAGCUUUCUUAUCCAUAAAAUCAAGAUAGCAGUAGUUA
rnacentral:lncRNA from 10 species